rnacentral:rRNA from 2 species
UGGGGAAUUUUGGACAAUGGGCGCAAGCCUGAUCCAGCCAUGCCGCGUGCAGGAUGAAGGCCUUCGGGUUGUAAACUGCUUUUGUACGGAACGAAAAAGCUCUCUCUAAUACAGGGGGUGAAUGACGGUACCGUAAGAAUAAGCACCGGCUAACUACGUGCCAGCAGCCGCGGUAAUACGUAGGGUGCAAGCGUUAAUCGGAAUUACUGGGCGUAAAGCGUGCGCAGGCGGUUAUGUAAGACAGAGGUGAAAUCCCCGGGCUCAACCUGGGAACUGCCUUUGUGACUGCAUAGCUGGAGUGCGGCAGAGGGGGAUGGAAUUCCGCGUGUAGCAGUGAAAUGCGUAGAUAUGCGGAGGAACACCGAUGGCGAAGGCAAUCCCCUGGGCCUGCACUGACGCUCAUGCACGAAAGCGUGGGGAGCAAACAGG